ACUUCAGUUACGAAAUGAAUUAUGAAAUUUUGUUCGAUGAAAAGAGAAAGAUUCUCUACGUUGGUCGAAAACUCUGUUUCAAAAUUGUCUGCUAAACGCUGGCUAAAUGCAAAGUAAGAUUCCCCUACUUCAAUCCCUUCAAUUGAACUCUCAACAACCAACCGAGCGAGGAUGGGUCUUCGAAGUGCAACUGCAGAUUAAUUUGGCAGAACAAGAGUGUGUGGGCUUAAAUGGUCGGUGCGUCAGGCGGCAGACAAAAACUGAUUGUUUCCUGACCCGGUCCGAUGUUCGAUGAGUGCGUGAGUGGAAAGAUGCUUUGAGUUGGCCAGUAAAAACUUGAUGAGAAUCGAUUUUAAUUACAACAGUAGAUGCGCGUAAUUGCUUUUACACCAAAAAUUAAAGUGCAUGUAAUUUUAAAAAUUCCAUUCAAAAGAUAGAAAUAAAUAGGAAGAAUUUGUGAUGUGUAUCUAUA